rnacentral:rRNA from 1 species
AGCGAACGCUGGCGGCAGGCCUAACACAUGCAAGUCGAACGGCCGUAGCAAUACGGCAGUGGCAGACGGGUGAGUAACACGUGGGAAUGUACCCUUCGGUUCGGAAAAACUCAGGGAAACUUGAGCUAAUACCGGAUACGCCCUUACGGGGAAAGAUCUAUCGCCGAAGGAUCAGCCCGCGUCCGAUUAGCUAGUUGGUGGGGUAAUGGCCCACCAAGGCUCCGAUCGGUAGCUGGUCUGAGAGGAUGAUCAGCCACACUGGGACUGAGACACGGCCCAGACUCCUACGGGAGGCAGCAGUGGGGAAUAUUGGACAAUGGGCGCAAGCCUGAUCCAGCCAUGCCGCGUGAGUGAUGAAGGCCCUAGGGUUGUAAAGCUCUUUCGGCGGGGAAGAGUAAUGACGGUACCCGCAGAAGAAGCCCCGGCUAACUUCGUGCCAGCAGCCGCGGUAAUACGAAGGGGCUAGCGUUGCUCGGAAUCACUGGGCGUAAAGCGCACGUA